AAUAACCAAAAAAAAAAAAAAAAACAGCGAUAAAACAGUCAUAUAGGCGUUUCGUUGAAGCGGACAUUAUAUGAUGUGUAUUAUAUAUAAAAACCACUUCAAUGAAACGUCUAUAUAACAGUGCUCAUGUUGUCAGGGAGACCGCAGUUUCAUCGUAAACAUUGUAUUCAACAACAGUCUGAACAGAACUUCUCAAAAUAACAAUAACAAUUAUAACGAGACGAAACCAGAACCCAAAAAACCAAAUAAAACAAAAAGAGAUAUGAAAACGAAAAAACCAUGAACAAAACAAAAGUUAAAAAAAAUAUGUCAUAUCUGGAGAGAAUAGCUCCAUUAAUAAAAAAUGCAAAAGUAGAUAAUGAACUGGUAAAUUAAAUUAUGGUAAAACAAAAUGAUGAAAUAAUAAACAUUAAAUCACCAUCUGACGGCGAAAUUUAUAGCGAUUAUUGGACCAUAAAUCACUAUAAAACCAAAAAUAUUCAAAAUAUUAAUGCUAAAGACAGCAGAUUUUGUCAACGUAUUAAUUACACCAGCCAUGCAUCCAUUAGAGCAGUGCUUCCCAGCGAUUGGGUAGCAAAAUAUUUUUGAUGGGUUGCUGUUCGUAAAACUGCAAUAUCAAAGAAAACAUUUUGAUUGUAAAAAAAUAUAUAUAUAAAAAAUAAAAAAUUUUUUAUCGUAAACUUAUUAAAAAUUGUGAAGUUAUGUUUUAUUUGAUAACUCUAAGUAUAAUAGUAAUGUGAAGUAUAUCUAACUUCCUAUAGCGUAGGACCCGGGUGGCACCAUUAUAUAUUUUUAUUUAUUUAUUUUAUUUUAUUACGAUAGUGGGAACUUUAAAAUCUGCUGUCUAAUCUAUCGGUAAAUGCACUAAUGCCACUGCAGUCGAUGGUAUUGUUGUGUUAUACGUUUGGCUGUUCAUAUACUUAUUGUCCAUUCAGUUGAGCAGUACCUACAUCGAGACUACCCGAGUAUAAAAUAAAUACAUUUUAUUAUUAUUGGUAGGUACCUGCUAUGGUGUUUUACUAUAGUAACAAUAGUUGAACCUAAACAAAAAAAGGGAUUCUAAAUAAGGACAUGUACCCCCCCCCCCCUUCUCCAGUUGCACCAAUGCGGACAACUAUUGUCAAAGGGUAGCUAUAUUCGCACUGCGCCAAUAGGCGGACUGGCGACGAUAAGCACGGCUAGCAAAAAAGAGCAAACAGGACACCGCAAAAGCGGAAAACGGGUGGCGUGGGUAAUACGCAGGGCUUGAAAUCGAUUGAAAUAAUUUCGGUUUUAAUUUUGUAUACCAGUUUUUAUUUUUUUCGAUUUUGGUUUCAAUUUUUCAAUACCAGUAUUAGGAA
rnacentral:lncRNA from 1 species